rnacentral:rRNA from 1 species
UACGUAGGUGGCGAGCGUUAUCCGGAAUGAUUGGGCGUAAAGGGUGCGUAGGCGGCCUGCUAAGUCUGGAGUGAAAGGUACCGGCUCAACCGGUACAGGCUCUGGAAACUGGCGGGCUAGAGAGCAGGAGAGGGCGGUGGAACUCCAUGUGUAGCGGUAAAAUGCGUAGAGAUUAGGAAGAACACCAGUGGCGAAGGCGAUUCUCUGGACUGUAACUGACGCUGAGGCUCGAAAGCGUGGGGAGCAAACAGG